GCAGCCCAGGGUGAUUUACAGCCUCUUCCCACAGGGCACUGGUUUUGCCCAGCACAGCCCACUGCUGGGGGCAAGCACAGCCUUGGCCAGCCUGGGCAUUUGGUCAGAGGGGAUAUCUGUUAACAGCACUUGUUUAUUCUGUUUCCUGCAGGAAAGAAGUGCGACAGAUAAGAGCCAUGCAGGUGUGCAGGCAGUACACCGAAAAAUAUUUCUUUUGAGAGCGGGUUUUGGAGGUGGCGGUUGUGAGUCAAAUUGUAACUAAAGAUGUAGAUUCUGAGUUGGUCAAUGUGGUGAUGAGCUUCUACAUGUCAGGGAAAGGAGUGAGUGAGUGGCUGUGUUGGUGCUUAGCUGCUGGCUACAAUCAACCAUCAGCAUUUGG